rnacentral:rRNA from 1 species
CACGUAGGGCGCGAGCGUUGUCCGGAAUCAUUGGGCGUAAAGAGCGUGUAGGCGGCUAUUUAAGUCCUGCGUGAAAUCCUGCGGCUCAACCGCAGACGGUCGUGGGAAACUGGAUGGCUAGAGUGCGGGAGAGGAGAGUGGAAUUCCCGGUGUAGCGGUGAAAUGCGCAGAUAUCGGGAAGAACACCCGUGGCGAAGGCGGCUCUCUGGAACGCAACUGACGCUGAGACGCGAAAGCGUGGGGAGCAAACAGG